UAGAAAACGGGACUGCUCUGCACCA
rnacentral:piRNA from 1 species